rnacentral:misc_RNA from 1 species
UAAGAAUCAUAUUAAACACUCAAAAAAAGGAGGCACAAGAGUUCUAGUUUUCAAUAAAUUGUUGUUCAUCAUUUGUCUUACUGAAUUCUAGUAGAUGAUAUUGUGGGCAUCUUGAUGUCUGUAAUUGUGUGAAAUCUUAAAUAAUGGCUUAAUUUUUUGAAUGGAAUUGAAGCCCAUUCUAUCUUGAUAUUGCCACAAACCAACGCUUUUGGGGAAUGGGAUUCUGCUUUAAAUUGAU